AGUACGUGAAAUUGUUGAAAGGGAAGGGUAUAGGAUCAGACUUGGUGUCUUGUGAUUAUCUUCCCUUCUUGGGUUGUGCACUCGCAUUUCACUGGGCCAGCAUCGGUUCGGAUGGCAAGAUAAUGGCUUGGGAAUGUGGCACUCUUCGGAGUGUGUUAUAGCCCUUGUUGAUGUUGCCUAUCUGGACCGAGGACUGCGGCUUUUGCCUAGGAUGCUGGCGUAAUGAUUCAAUACCGCCCGUCUUGAAACCCGGACCAAGGAGUCUAACGUCUAUGCGAGUGUUUGGUGUAAAACCCGUACGCGUAAUGAAAGUGAAGUAGGUGAGACCCGUAUGGGUGCAUCCACGCCGAUCCUGCAUGUUUUCGGUAUGGGAUUUGAAGUUAAAAAG
rnacentral:rRNA from 1 species